GCCGACUUCCGGCGGCGGGUGGGCGCGCGCCGCGUAACGACCGUCUGCGCGGACGAUAGCGGGCGGCGACGGCGUGCGUAUGGAGGCCUCGGCCGCCGGCCGGGCGCGGCGGGGCUGGCGGCGGGCCCGGGCGGCGGGCUCCCCGCUCUCCCGCGGCGCCGUCCUCCUCCUUCUCGCCGCCUUCCUUGUGCGGGCGCCCCCGGCAGUUGGAUAUUUGGUUCGAGUACCAAGAGGUUUUCGCUUGUCCCAAGAUGCGGUGAAAAUAGUGGGAUCACCAAAUUUUCCAGUGAAAGUAUAUGUUAUGCUCCAUCAAAAGAGUCCACAUGUGUUAUGUGUAACCCAACGAUUGCGAAAUUCUGAGCUGAUAGACCCAUCAUUCCAAUGGCAUGGGCCAAGAGGAAAAAUUAUUUCAGAAAACAGCACUGCGCAAAUAACAUCCACAGGAAGCCUUGUAUUCCAGAACUUCGAGGAGAGCAUGAGUGGAGUUUAUACGUGUUUCCUUGAGUAUAAGCCUACUGUGGAAGAAAUUGUUAAAAAUAUUCAACUAAAAUAUGUUAUAUAUGCUUAUCGUGAACCUCAUUAUUAUUACCAGUUCACAGCUCGAUAUCAUGCAGCUCCCUGCAAUAGUAUCUAUAAUAUUUCUUUUGAGAAGAAACUUCUUCAGAUUUUAAGUAAAUUGGUUCUUGACCUUUCCUGUGAAAUUGCAUUACUUAAAUCUGAAUGCCAUCGUGUUAAAAUGCAAAGAGCUGGUUUGCAAAAUGAAUUGUUCUUUACAUUUUCAGUUUCAUCUCUAGAUGCUGAAAAAGGGCCCAAGCCAUGUUUAGAUCAUAGCUGUGAAGCCUCCAAAAGACUGUCUAAGGCUAAAAAUCUCAUAGAGAGAUUUUUUAAUCAACAAGUAGAAGUGCUUGGCAGACGUGCAGAACCACUGCCUGAAAUAUACUAUAUUGAAGGUACUCUCCAAAUGGUAUGGAUUAAUCGCUGCUUUCCAGGGUAUGGAAUGAAUGUCCUGAAACACCCAAGAUGUCCUGAGUGCUGCGUUUCCAGCUGGUGCAUACCUGGAUUGAUUCCAUAUCUUAGCUGUUGUGACUUGAGCUGCCAUAAACAUGGGACUACAAAUAACUUUUUCAUAUGAAGAUUUCAUUUCCUUUGAGUAAAUUCCCAGGUGUGAGAUGGCAAGGUUCUAUGGUAGACUGUUUUCAGAUUUCUGAGGAAUGUCUAUGCUGUCUUUCAAAUGGCUGUACUGAGUUUACAUUCCCACCAGCAGUGCGUUUGAGUUCCUUUUUCUCCACCUCCUUGCCAGCAUUUAUUAUUUUUUGAUUUUUGGAUGAUAUUCUGACAGGGUUUUAGGCCAUUACAAAUAAAGCCCGCUGUGAACAUGCCUGUACAAGUCUUUGUGUUCUCCUGAGAAAAUACCUAUGACUUCGAUUGCUGGGUCAUACGCUCUCUGCUAUGGCCUGGGAAAGCAGUAGAAGAUGGCCCAAGUGCUUGGGCCCCUGCACCUGUGUGGGAGACCUGGAAGAAGCUCCUGGCUCCUGGCUUCAGAUCGGCCUGGCUCUGGCCAUUGUGGCCAUGUGGGGAGUGAACCAGUGGAUGGAAGACCUCUCUCUGUCCCCCCCACCCCCGUAACUCUACCUAUCAAACAAAUAAAUUAAAGAAAAAAAAACUAAAAAAAAAAAAAAAAAGCGUUCUUAACUUUGUAUGAACAAAAAUCCUUUGCUGAUACAUACGUGGUGAAUAUCUUCUCCCAAACUGCUAUCUACAGUUUGGUUUUCAAAGAAAAUUUGAAGAAGUCCAUUUACUUUUUAUUCUAUAGUUCAUGCGUUUGUGUUCUAAUAAACUUUUUCCUAUGAAUUCACAAAGAUUAUCUACUCUGUUUUUUGUAUAGGUGUUUUUUCGUUUUUGAUUGUACUUUUAGGACUGUGGUUCAUGUUGAGUUUGUGUGAGGGUAAUGAUGGUAUGGAUAUGUUGAUGAACAUAUGCUACUGCAAGGAUGUCUGCUCUGAUGAGCACCAUUUGUUUUGGAAACUUUCUUGUCCCUGUUAUAAUACCUUGUUGCCUUUGUAAAAAGUGUGACCAUAAUUGUGUUUGUUUAAUUCUAUUCCACUCGUCAUUGUGUCUGUCAUUCACUUGACCAAAGUAUCUUGGUUAACAUAGCUUUAUAUUAACUUUGAAAUAACAUGAGAUGGUCCUCCAAACUAGCUAUUUAUUUUUAAAAAUUGCUUUGCUUACUAUACUCUGUCCCUUGAAUUUAUAUAUUUAUAUACACACAUACACACAUAUAUUAGAAUUAGGUUAAUUUCCACAAAAAAAUUUAAUGUAAUUUGAAUUGAUUUGUGUCUAGAGAUAAAAUUAAAGAUAAUUGUCUUAUAAAAUGUUUAGCAAUCUUAAGAGUGAACAUGAUGAUUUUGUAUUUGCGUAAAUCCUUUUAAAUUUGUCUCUGGGGAAUUAUACAAUUUUAUUGCACAUUUCUAGGAAGUAUUUUCUUAGAUUUAUUCAUAAGGAUGAUGAAUGUUAUUCCUCCUUAAUGAAUAAGGGUGUUUUAUUUGCUCCGCUUGUAAAUGGAAUUGUUCAGUGAUUUGAUUUUCCAGGUAGCAUAUAAGAAUAAAGUUGACCAGAGUAGGCAUUUGGCACGGAGGUUAAGCUACCACUUGGGAGGCCCAUGUCCUAUACUGGAGCACCUGAGUUUGAGUCCUGACUGCUUCUAGUUCCAGCUGCCUACAGUGCACACCCUGGGAGGCUGGAGAUGAUAGCUCAGGUACUUGGGUCUGCACCUGAUGUUGAAUACCCAGAUUGAGUUCCAGGCUCCUGGCUUUGGCCUGAGUCAGCCCUAGCUGUUGUGGGCCUUUGGAUUGUGAACCAGCAGGUGUAAGAUUGCUAUCUUCCAAAUAAAUAAAUUUAAAAAGAAGUACAUUUUGCAUUUUAAUGUUAGCUUGGAUCUUGUGACAUUGGUUAUCAUUGAUUAGGUCUCAGUUAUUAUGACAAACAUAUCUUCAUAUGAUAAGUUUUGCUUCUUUUCUAAUAUCUAUGCUUUGUAUUUCUUUUAUUGCAAUUUCUUAGUCCUCUAGUACAGUGUUGAAGUAGGAGAAGACGACAUUCUUGCCCUGUUGCUGAUAUUAGAGAUAAAACAAAUCAUUUGUUGACUCUUAAAAUAAACUGUAGAAUUUUCCUGUAUAUAUGUUUUUUCAUUGGAGAGAUACAGAGAGGGACAGACAGACAGAGGAGUUCCCAUAUGCUGGUUAGUUUCUCAAAUGCCCACCAUGGAUAGGCUGGGCUGAGUCUAAAGCCAGAAGCUAGGAACACAAUGCAGUCUCCCAUGUCCUGGCAAGAACCCACUUACUUGAACUAUUGCUACUGUAUUGCAGGGUCUGCAUUGGUGGGAAGCUGGAGUAAAGAGCCAGAGCCUAGGCUGGCGCCGUGGCUCACUUGGCUAAUCCUCCGCCUGCGGCGCCAGCACCCCGGGUUCUAGUCCUGGUUGGGGCACCGGGUACUAGUCCCAUUUGCUCUUCCAGUCUAGCUCUCUGCUGUGGCCGGGUAGGGCAGUGGAGGAUGGCCCAAGUGCUUGGGUCCCUGCACCCACACGGGAGACCGGGAGGAAGCACCCAGCUCCUGGCUUCAGGUUGGUGCAGCGCCGGCCGUAGUGGCCAUUAGGGGAGUGAACCAAAGGAAGGGAGACCUUUCUCUCUGUUAGUCUCUCACUGUCUAUAACUCUACCUGUCAAAAAAAAAAAAAAAAACCAGAGCCCAGGAUAGAAGCCAGGCACUCUGAUGAGGGUUGCAGGCAUCUUAAAUCACUAGUCUAUACUACCACCGCAGCUCUAAGAGUUUCUCUGGGACUGGGAUUGUGGUGCUGUGGGAACAAUGGCAUCCCAUGUCAGCGCAGGUUCUGCUCCUGAUCCAGCUUCCUGUUAACACUCCUCAGAAGGCAGCCAGAGAUCACCCAAGUUCCGCCCAUUAGGAAGAUCCGCAUGGGGUUCUGGGCGUCUGACUUUGGCCUGGACCAGCCUCGGCUGUUGGCUGCCAUUUGGUGCAUGAAUCAGUGGAUGAAAGAUCUGUUUGUUUCUUCCUCUUUCUAUCACUUGUCGCUCCCCCUCUUCAUGGAGGAAUGACACUAAACCCUGCCUAGGCUUCAUAUCCGAGUCACGGCACCAUUAUGUCGCUCCCCCUCUUCGUGGAGGAACGACACAGGACCCUGUGCUGUUCUUUUGUCUGCUCGGCCCUCCCCGGGUUUGCUGCUGGUUCUUCCCGGGUUGGCUACCGUCCCUUCCACCUCCGUGGAAGGGCGGUUCCCCCUGCCACAUUCCCCACUUCCGCGGGGGAGCGGCACACCGCCGGCCGGCUCUCUCGGGGGCUGCACAGGUGUUCCCUCAGAUGUUCCUCUUAGAUGUUCCUGGUGCAUGUUGUCUCUCUCCUCCUUUAUAGCCCUCUUCCGCCAAUCCCAACUCGGCUGCCCACACGCCGAGUACGCUGCUCUCCUCCAAUCAGGAGCAGGAGGUCAUCACUCAAGUUGGCAAGAGGCAGCUGCGUAGAAGCUGUUUUCUCCUCUCCCAGCGCCAUAUUGUGGAAGAGCAGAUGCAUAGAAUAAGUCUUAAUUCCAGUAACUCAGUCCAGUCCGGGUUGCUCCCCACAAUCACUCUGCCUUCAAAUAAAUAAAACUUUAUAAUUUUUUUUAGAUAUUUUUGUCAGUUUGAAAAAGUCCCCAGCUGUUUUUAGUUUUCCAAAGACUUUAUCAUGAGUAGUGACUUCUGUCCAUUGCUUUUUCCUGCGUCAGUUAAAAUAGUCAUGAUUUCUAUUCUUGUGUUAGUAUGGUAAUUUGAUUUAUGUUAAACAAUCUUGCAUUCCUUGAAUGAAUCCUAUGUGGUCAUGACCCUCUUUACUUAUUGUUUGAUUUGACUAGUUAGUAUUUAUACCUUUUUCAGGAGGAAUAUUUAUUUGGUUAAUAAUAUCAUCAUCAUGUUAAGAUUAUGCUGGCUUUGUAAAAUAUGUUGUUCCUUCCUGGUUAUUUUCUGAAAGUGUUCUGUAGCAAUGGUAUUAUCUUGUGGUGCUUGUUGGAGUUAACCAGUUUAUCCAUCUGUUCCUUUGACCUACCUGUGUAUCCUUUGCUAAUAAUGGUUUUCACUACUAUACUUAGUAAGUCUUUAAAUAUCAGUGUGAUUUUUCCUAUACUUUUUUCUCUUAAAAAGCCAUUUUUCCCUUUCUAGUUUAUUUGAUCUUGCAUUUAAUGUUUAGAAUUAGCUCAUCUAUCAAUGUAUGGAGAGAACGCCUUCUGGAAUUUUGAUAGCUAUUGUGUAAAACUUAUAUUUGUAUAAUUUUGCUAAUUUUACUAAAUUUUCAAAACCAAAUACAUCAUAUGUCCAUUUAUUUAGAUCUUUUUUUGAAUUUUUUUCAUUUAGUUUUUGUAGUUAUUGUGUAGAUCUUAUAUAUGUUAGAUUUCUGUUUUAUUUUGUAGAAAGCUGUUACAAAUAGUAUUGUUGCCACUUUGAUUUGCAGUUGUUUAUUACUAGUUUUUAGAAAAAUGAUUGUUUUGUUCAUUAACCUUACCUCCUGCUACUUUUCUAAACUCUUGUAUUUUAGGAGAUUUUUUUUUUGGUAGGUCUACAACAGUAUUUCUGUGAUGCACUGAUUUUUAGGUUUUUUUCUUUGGUAAAAAAGCUACAUGUAUAAUGAUAAAAUUUCUUUUAAAACUAGUGCUUUAUUCCAAUUAAUUUCAGUAAGGAAAUAUUUUUAUUAAAUUCAAAAUAUUUUAAGAUGCAGUUUUCCUAAACCUCUUUACUGCUCUUGAUAUUUAUAUGGUCAUGACUUUUUAAGAAAUAUUAUUUAUUUUCAAGUCAGAGCUAGAGAGAGAGAGGGAGGGAGGGAGGGAGGGAGGGAAGGAGGGAGGGAGAAUCUUCAAUCCAUUGAUUUACUCUCCAGAUGGCUGCAAUGGCUAGAGUGGAGCAAGGCAGAAGCUAGAAGCCAGGAGCUUCAUUUGGGUCUCCCAUGGGGUGCAGGGGCUCAAACACUCGGACCAUCUUCUGCUGCUUUUCCUAGGUGAUUAGCAGGGAGCUCCCUGGGAAGCGGAGCAGUUGGGACACGAACUGGUGCCCAUAUGGGAUGCCGGUGUCACAAGUGGUGGCUUUGCCCAUUACACCACGAUGCAGGCCUCAAUAUGGUCAGGACAUUUAAAUAACCAGAUUUUUAAAAAAUGAUUUAUUUAUGUGUUUGAGAGAUAGUAAUAGACAGAUGGACAUACAGAGUGAGUGCUGCUCUGUGCUGGUUUCCCAGAUGCACACAAUAGUCGAAGCAGGGAACUGGAACUCAGUCCAUGUCUCUCCUUGGGUGGCAGGGACCCAACUGCUUGAGCCAUCAUUUGCUGCCUCUGCAGGUAUGCAUUGCAGUAAGGAGGAACUGGGAACAGAGCUAGGACUUGAACCUAGGCAUGCAGAUCUGAGAUGCAGACAUCUUCACCUGCGUUUUAACCACUAGCCCACCAGUCUCUUCCUCUAUUGGUUUUACAGUGUACCAGAUGGUCUCUGUUGGUGAAGAUACCAUAGAUGAUUAAAAAAGAAAAGAUAUGUUAUAUUGUAGGUGUUGACUGUAGUGUUCUAAAAAUACAUCAUGGUGCUAAUAGUGUGAAGUAUGUAUAUUUUCUAACUAUGGAAUUGUUCAGUUUAACUCUUUAAUUCCAUCAGCUUUUGCUGUUUCUAUUUUGAGAUUGUUUUGGGACACCUAUAAUUUCGCUAUGUAUCUUCCUAGUGAAUUCUUCGUUUUGUUGUUAGUUCUUAGUUCUUUUGUUGUUAGUUGUUCUUAGUUUUGUUGUUACUUCCAUAUCACUCUUAUGCUUGAAUGUUUUUAGUAUAAUAGCUCCAGCAUUCUUAUACUUACUGUUUGCACAGUGAGGCUGCUUUCAUAUGUCGUCUGCUUUGAACCUCGCUGUGGGUCUGCUGCAGGCAGCUUGAGUCUUACAUUUUUAAAAUGAGCUUGUCUGUCUGCUGUUCAUUUAAAGGGCUGAUAGAAUGUUCAUUAUUUUCUGUUUGUCUCCUCUGGUCCGUGGUUCUCUCUAGCUGCUAUCUUGUUGCUCAAAUAUUUUUAAUAUUAUACUUUAAUGUAUAUAAUAAUUGCUGAGUUUAAUUUCAUUCAUAAUGACUGAGUUUAAUUUCAUUUUGACGACAUAUUUUUGCUUAUCUAGAGAUCAUAGUAUAUAAAUUUAUUUUUCAUUGUUUACUUGGAGUAAAAUUGUGUAACUUUAUGUUAGAUAUAGAAAACUUAUAAUCACUGAGGUUUCUUUACUCAGCUACCAUGUUCAAACUUCCCCUCUGAAAUGACAGUUAUACCCAUAUGUUAUACCUAUUGAUACUUUAACACAGAUUCCUGAGGCCUUAUUCAGUGUUGUUUUAAAUUCUUUAGUUUAAUUUAUUGAUCUAAAAGUGUUUUGACUUUUUAAGUUGUUAUCUCUAUUCUAUUGAAUUCAGUGAAAUUUUUAUGUCCUAAGUAUUAAAAUUUUCCAUUUUUUGUUGUUUCUGUUUAUCUUCUAAGAUUUACUGUCUUGAUUUCUUUCAAGCACAUUUUCAUGUGUCUCUUGAGACAUAGUUAUCGUAGCUCUUUAGAAGUCUUUAAUAAUUCAGACAUCUGAAAUUCUGGGAUUCCAUUCAUUUGUCUUUUCCCUUGAUAAUAGAUUACAUUUUCUUGAUUUUUCUGUCAGUUUAAUUUUCAUUGUGUCAUAAAACUAUGACCGUUACAUCCUGUACCAUCUGAGUUCUGCUGUAGUCCCCUGCAGGUCGAUGUUUUUGCUUUAGCAGGAAAUCCCCUUCAGAUCAGGGAGUCUGUCCUUCUGUGGGCAGUGACUCAGAUCAGCUCAGGUCUCAAAGACCGCUCUGCCGGUCUGAGCCCUUCCUCAUGCAUGUACGUGAAGGGUUAGGUGGUGACCUGUGCGUUGUCAAAUCCCAGCUCAGUUCUCUAAGCCUCUGUAGGGUGCUUAAGACAUACCGGUGCAUGUGUGUUCAGCACCUUGGCUGAGCCUUAUGCAGAACACUUUCUGAACUUCUCUCCCCUCUGAGAUUUUACCCUCACACUGCUGUGUCUCUAGGCUUCGUUCCUUGGUUCUCCCAGUCAGAGGAGCACAGGUUUCUAUCGGAGUUUUAUGUCUGUGCAUAUGCUACUUACAGCUCAGCUGAGUGAGAGAAAAAUAGUGACUAGCCUAGAGUCUGCCCGUGUGCGCUGCCUCGUUCAGCUGACUCCCUUUGCUUCUCAGAGUCUGCAGGUCAGCAUUCAUUUGAGUCAGAGUGAAAAACUGGAAUUCCUGUGAUUCAUGGGUGUGAGGAAUUAGAGCCAGCAGCAAAUUUCAACUCCAGAUGAGGAGGAGCCUAGUGACUGUUCAUUAGUUAAUGAGUUAAGACUUUGCAGAGUUGUUCAGCUUUUCUCAUAAUUUAUAUCCUUAGGUAUCUGUUUUAUUUAAAUGUUCAAGUUUACUCCACAAAUUGACCACAGUAUUCUUAGUUUCCAUCCUAAUGUCAUAGGAUCUGCAGUGAUAUUUCCUCAUUCAUUCCUAAUACUAUUCAUUUGUCUCCAGUAAUAUUUUGUUUGUUCUACUAGCUCUAGUUAGAGGUUUAAUCAGUUUUAUUAGUUCUGUUUCCAUUUUUCUCAUUUGAAAAUUAGUAAAAUUAGCAUUCUCUUCUUUUUUUUAGCUUCUUAAGAGAACAGCAGAGGGCAUUCAUUUCCUACAUUUCUCUUUCCCUUGUAUAUGUAAAACUGUUCAUUUUCCCUCAAAUAUUACUUUCCAUGUGUGCAGCUUUUCCCCAGCCUGAAGUUGCUCCCUAACCCGUCUGCUUAUUUCUGUUGUGUAUUCACAAGAGGUUCUCCUUGUCUCCAGGGUUCUCUAUGUGUGCAGCUCGUUUUUAAGAUUUAUUUAUUUAUUUAUUUGAAAGGCAGAGUUACAGAAAGAGAGGGAGAUACCACACACACACACACACACACACCCUCACACAGUGUGUGGAAUCUACACCAAGAUUACCAGGCAUGAAAAAAAGCAGGAAAACACAACUUGUGAUGGUUAGAAUAAGCAAACAUCAAAAUCAAGCCAGAACCAAGGAGAUACACUGAAAUUUAUAAAACGUUGCUGAAAGAAAUCUAAGACAACUGAAAUAGAAAAAAAUCCCACAUUUAUAGGUGGCAAGAUUUAAUACAUUAUUACAAAGCAAUAGUAAUCAAUGCACUAAUAAUACAAGGGUAGAGCUGUAGACAAGUGGUACAGAAAUAAACCCAUACAGCUACAACAAACUGAUUAUUGAUAAGGGUGCCAAGUCUGUUUCUUAUGAAAAUGAUGAUAUCUUCAACAAAUGGUACAGGAGCAGUAAGGUUUCCUUGUGAUCUUUGUUCUGAAUUCCAAGCUGUGUAAUAUUAAUAUAUCUAACCCUGCUUUAUGUUUCUGUUUCCCAGGUAUAUAUUUAAUUCUCAGUGUUCAAAUAUUUUUUUGUUUGGAUGAUUCUCUUUUUUUAAAGAUUUAUUUAUUUAUUUGAAAGGCAGGGCAUGAGAGAGAGAGAGAAGAAGGAAAGAGGGCUUCUGUGUGCUGGCUCCCUCCCUCAGUGGUCACAGGGCCAGGGCUGGGCCAGGCGGAAGCUAGAAGCCAGGAGCUCCAUUCUGGUCUCCCACAUGGGUGGCAGGGGCCCAAGCACUUGUACUGCCAUCCGUUACCUUCCCAGGCACAUUAGCAGGAAGCAGAGCAGCGGGGACUUGAAACAGCGCUCAUAUGGGAUGCCAGCAUCGCAAGCUGCGGCUUAACCCUCUGUAUGACAGCACUGGCCCUGGAGGUAUUUCUUACAUGUAGCACACAUUGAGGUUUGCUAUGUGACCCACCCUGAAAACCAUUUUAUCUUAAUGAUUUACUAAGGAAAAAAAAAACUACAUCAAAGUAUGUUGUGAAGAAUUUUUGUAACGCAAAAAGGGAAAUGCCUUUAGGUUCUAUCUCUAAUAGAGUAAUUACAAAAUGAAGCACUAAUUACAAUGAAGAUAAAGUGGUUAUUUUAAUGUCUAACAGAAAAAUUCGAAUAGAAUAUUAUCAGGAAUAUAUAGGGAUAUUACUUAAUGAUGUAGGGUCAGAACUUCAAUUAAAAAAACCCAAUUCUAGGCCGGCGCCGCCGCUCACUAGGCUAAUCCUCCGCCUAGCGGCGCCGGCACACUGGGUUCUAGUCCCGGUCGGGGCGCCGGAUUCUGUCCCGGUUGCCCCUCUUCCAGGCCAGCCCUCUGCUGUGGCCAGGGAGUGCAGUGGAGGAUGGCCCAGGUGCUCGGGCCCUGCACCCCAUGGGAGACCAGGAAAAGCACCUGGCUCCUGGCUCCUGCCAUCGGAUCAGCGCGGUGCGCCGGCCACAGCGCGCCGACCGUGGCGGCCAUUGGAGGGUGAACCAACAGCAAAGGAAGACCUUUCUCUCUGUCUCUCUCUCUCACUGUCCACUCUGCCUGUCCAAAAAAGAAUAAAAAAAAAAAAAAAACCAAUUCUAGGCCAACGCUGUGGCUCAAUAGGCUAAUCCUCGGCCUGUGGUGCCGGUACCCCGGGUUCUAGUCCUGGUCGGGGCGCCAGAUUCUGUCCCAGUUGCACCUUUUCCAGUCCAGCUCUCUGCUGUGGCCCGGGAGUGCAGUGGAGGAUGGCCCAAGUGCUUGGGCCCUGCACCUGCGUGGGAGACCAGGAGGAAGCACCUGGCUCCUGCCUUCGGAUUGGCGCAGUGCACCAGCCUUAGCAGCCAUUUGGGGAGUGAACCAACAGAAGGAAGACCUUUCUCUCUGUCUCUCUCUCUCUCUAACUCUGCCUGUCAAAAAAAAAAUUCUAAACGUCUGUUUGCCUAAUUACUGAGUUUCAAGACAGAUGAAAGAACACUAGGAAGAAAUAGACAAAUCCACAGCUAUAGCUGAAAGCUUCAAACACACAGAUAUCCUUCAUUAGCUGCUUCACUCCCCAGUUGUCCGCAUUGUCAGGCUGAAGCCAGUAGUCAGGAGCUUCAUCUGGGUCUCCCUGGUGAGUCAGGGUCCCAACCCCAUAGGCCAUCUUACACUGUUUUCUCAGGCACCUUAGCAGGAAGCUAAGCUUCAUCCACUGCACCACAGCACAGUCCCGAUCUCCAACUGUUAGCAUGAUCCCUUCAGUUUAGAGACUUUGAUGGGCCCCACCUCAGUGUCUGCAGCAUAAUUUCCUAUUCAUUGUUAAUACAGGGUUACAGCAGAUGUUAUUAAUGCAUAGCUUUGUGUACUACUUUGAUGUAUUAUUAAUAUAUAGUGAUGGACUUUAGUUUACUAAUUUUAGGCUCACAUUUUGUUUCUUAUCUCCAAGAUUGUUAUCCUUUAUGGUUAUGUGUCCUGUGUCUUGAAGAGGAUUUUUCCAUGUAUUUUAUAUGGUUAUUAUUAUUUUUUAUUGUUUUAGGCAAGAUGGUAAAUUGAUUUCCUGUUGUUCUUUCUGGAAGUAGUAGUCCAGGCUUCUGAGUAGUGUCAGACAGAAGCACUUCUUUAGCUUUCUUCAGCGUUGUACUGUUGCUGUCCGUGUGUCUCUAUUUGGGAGUUAUAAAAUGUGUUUUUUGUCUUUAGUUUGGACAAAUAGUUUGUUACUUGAAUUUCUGGAAACCCAUUGCACCAUUUCUUCCAGCACCUGCUGUUUCUGAUGAGAAGUGAGCUUCCAGUGAUACCGAUCACACCCUGACUCCAGCAUCACUGUUGACCCUGUGGAGCUUUGGGGGUUUUCUCUUUAUUUUGAGCUGAUAGCACGUUGAGCCUGUAAUACCUCAGAGUGAAGUUAUUUGAGUGUUUUCUGUCAGAUGCUUGCUGAGCUUCUUGAUCUGCUCAUUUAUGUCCUUCAUUAGAUCCAAGGCCUUUGGGCAUUUAUUUCAUGUUUUCUCGCUAGUCACACUGUCUCCUUUUUUGGUUAUCAGUUUCACAUAUGUUAUACUAAGAUAUAUAUAUUGGUCUACAGACCAAAUGAAGCUUUAUUCAUUUUUUAUUGUGUUGAAAUUCACAUGAAUUCAAAUUAAUCAUUUUAGUUUGAACAGUUUAGUAACAUUUGCACAACCACAGUGUUGUGCAACUACCAGCUCUGUGUAGUUCUAUUUUAAUAAAUGACCUCAAAAAAAUUCUCGUAUUGAUUAAGCAGUUAUUCCAACUCUCAUUUUUUCCAUGUGUUUGUAAAUGAUGUGAACCACAUUCCUUGACUAGUGGCCAGAACUAUUUGCUGAAGAAAUUUUCCUUUUCACAUUUUGUGGUCUCGGUACUCUUAAUGAAAAUCAGUUGGCGUAUAUGUAUGAGGUAUUGCAGGACUCUAUUCUGAUCCACUAUUCUUUCCUUAUGCUAGUGCCAAACUGUUUUGAUUGUUGUAGCUUUAUAGUAAGUUUCAAAAUUUGGAAGUGUGAGUCUGCCAACUUUGUUCAUUUUUUUCAAAAUUUUUUAGGCAUUUGGAGCUACUUACAAUUUAAUUCAGAUUUGAGAGUCAUAUUUCCAUUCUUCAAAUAAAACUGCUAGAAUGUUGAUGUAUAGCACUGUAUCUGUACAUGGCUUUUUAUAUUAUUGUCAAGUGUGAAAGAAGAAAUAAAAGUAUGCAUUUGUUUAUAUGUAAAUAUAUGUUUAUGUUUAUAUAUUUGUAUAUCCUCUAUAUAUUACAUUUAUUGGGUAUAUUUAUAUAUUUAUACAUAUAUGUAUGUAUUUACACAUAUAUGUAUAAAUAUAUAUAUAAAAGAGGGUACUUCAGAAAUUUCAUGGAAAAUGGAAAGAAAAGUUUAUUUUGAUGCAAAAAUGAUUUAUAAUUUUAUGUAUAAUUUAUUAUAUGCAUUUUCCUUGAACAUUAUGAAGACUGUGUGUGAGUAUGUAUGUAUCUGAAAAUACAUGCAAACCACAAAAAGCUACUGGAGCUAAUACAAGAAGUCAGCAAAGUCAAAGGAUACAAGAUCAACACACAAAAAUCAGAAUGCUGAUUGGUUCUACUAAUGUGCUGGACUCACCUUUCUAAGACCUGUCUCCUCACACCCGACCGGCUGUCAGACUCCGAGCAUUUGCUGUUUCUGACCUCCUUGCUACAUCACCCGUGCUCGUGAAGUGAUCUGCAGCCCUGGAUCUUACAAUCCCCGUGAUGGAAUUCACUGCCUUCAGUGCAAUAACAGCCUGGUAUAUGGAGCCAAAGCAUGCAUUUAGGCCAUCAUCUUGACUUACCCGGUGGUUUAUUAAACAUACAAUUAUAUUUUGAAAUAUUAAUAUAUAAUAAAUCACUAUUAUGCAAAAAUAUAUCAGAUUUUACAAAAAAAUGGUGUCAUUGUUUUAAUCAAAUACUGUUUGUCCAAGUGCUUUCUAAUUUCAGACCUACAUGUGGCCCCAGAAUAUCUCUCGUGUCAUGGCGUUUUAAAAAUGGUGCUGUGCACUUGGCAGGUCACUUCAGAUGCCGCUUGGAACGCCAGCAUCCCACUUGGAAGUGCCUCGUUUCAAGUCCUGGAUCCACUCCUGCUUCAGCUCCCUGCCAGGGCACACCCUGGAAGGAGCAGGUGACGGCUCACAUUGUUGGGCUCUUGCCCCUCCUGGGGAAGACCCCAGUUGAGUUCCUGGCUGUUGGGAUCAGCCCUGGCCUACCCCAGAUCUUGUGGGCAUUUAGGGAGUGAUCUGGCAAAUGAGAGAUCUGUCUCCCUCACUGUGUCUUGUCUGCUUUUCAAAUAAAUAAAUAUGUGAAAAUUGU